UCAGCCAGACUGGGACUGGGACACGGCCCAGACUCCUACGGGAGGCAGCAGUUAGGAAUUUUGGGCAAUGGCCGCAAGGCUGACCCAGCAACGCCGCGUGCGGGACGAAGGCCUUCGGGUCGUAAACCGCUUUUCCCAGGGGACGAUGAUGACGGUACCUGGGGAAGAAGCCCCGGCUAACUACGUGCCAGCAGCCGCGGUAAUACGUAGGGGGCGAGCGUUGUCCGGAUUCAUUGGGCGUAAAGCGCGCGCAGGCGGCCCCGCAAGUCGGCCGUGAAAUCUCCGGGCUCAACUCGGAGGGGUCGGGCGAGACUGCGGGGCUCGAGGUGGGCAGAGGGCAGUGGAAUUCCGGGUGUAGUGGUGGAAUGCGUAGAGAUCCGGAGGAACACCAGUGGCGAAGGCGGCUGCCUGGGCCUGGCCUGACGCUGAGGCGCGAAAGCGUGGGGAGCGAUCCGGAUUAGAUACCCGGGUAGUCCACGCCGUAAACGAUGGGCACUAGGUGUCGGGGGUAUCGACCCCCUCGGUGCCGGCGCUAACGCAAUAAGUGCCCCGCCUGGGGAGUACGGCCGCAAGGCUAAAACUCAAAGGAAUUGACGGGGGCCCGCACAAGCAGCGGAGCGUGUGGU
rnacentral:rRNA from 1 species